ensembl:piRNA 21ur-4990 ncRNA
UGCUCGGAAAUCAUUAAAAUA